rnacentral:rRNA from 1 species
UACAGAGGGUGCAAGCGUUGUUCGGAAUUACUGGGCGUAAAGCGCGUGUAGGCUGCAACGUAAGUCGGAUGUGAAAGCCCUUGGCUUAACCAAGGAAGUGCAUCCGAUACUGCGUCGCUUGAGUAUCGGAGGGGUCGGCGGAAUUCCCGGUGUAGAGGUGAAGUUCGUAGAUAUCGGGAGGAACACCUGUGGCGAAGGCGGCCGACUGGACGAUUACUGACGCUGAGACGCGAAAGCGUGGGUAGCAAACAGG